CUACUUUUAAAUCUUAUGGGAUGUGCAUAACUCUAAAUAGAGCUGUGCUGCAGCAACUAAAACUGCUGAUGAAUGUUUUCUAGGUUGAAGCUGAUCUGGGCUAUCCAGGUGGAAAGGCGAAAGUCAUCCAUAAGGAAUCUGAUAUGAUCAUGGCAUUUUCUGUUAAUAAGGUACAAGCUCUCAUCAUUAUAAACAGUGUAUUUCUCCUUAGUGAAAUUGCUUAAAUCAUUGAUUCUGCCUUUGCUUUAUAGGCAAAUUGUAAUGAAAUUGUUUUGGCUUCAACACAUGAUGUUCAAGAACUUGAUGUUACUUCUCUACUGGCCUGUCAGUCAUACAUAUGGAUCGGAGAAGAAUAUGACAGAGAAUCCAAAAGUUCAGAUGAUGUUGAUUAUCGUGGUUCCACUACAACUCUUUAUCAACCCAGUGCAACAUCCUAUUCAGCAAGUCAGGUGCAUCCACCUUCAUCUCUGCCAUGGCUGGGCACUGGACAGACUAGCACUGGAGCUAGUGUGCUUAUGAAAAGGAAUCUACAUAAUGUUAAGAGAAUGACUUCACACCCAGUCCAUCAA
rnacentral:sRNA from 1 species